UACGGAGGGGGCAAGCGUUAUUCGGAAUUAUUGGGCGUAAAGGGCGCGUAGGCGGUCUUUUAAGUCAGUGGUGAAAUCCCUCGGCUCAACCGAGGAACUGCCUCUGAAACUGAAAGACUUGAGACCGGGAGAGGGUGGUGGAAUUCCCAGUGUAGCGGUGAAAUGCGUAGAUAUUGGGAGGAACACCGGUGGCGAAGGCGGCCACCUGGACCGGUUCUGACGCUGAGGCGCGAAAGUGUGGGGAGCAAACAGG
rnacentral:rRNA from 1 species